GCCACCGUAGCUCAGUUGGUAGAGCAGCUGACUCGUAAUCAGCAGGUCGAGGGUUCAAGUCCCCCCGGUGGCU
rnacentral:tRNA from 1 species